AUUAUACUAGUACUACUAUUAUUACUAUUACUACUACUACUAUUAUACUACUACUACUACUAUUAUUACUACUACUUCUACUACUAUUAUACUACUACUACUAUUAUUACUAUUACUACUACUACUAUUAUACUACUACUACUAUUAUUACUACUACUUCUACUACUAUUAUACUACUACUACUACUACUGCUACUACUACUAUACUACUUCUACUACUAUUAUACUACUAUUAUUACUAUUACUACUACUAUACUACUACUACUACUAUUAUACUACUACUACUACUAUUAUUACUACUACUAUUAUACUACUACUACUACUACUACUACUACUACUACUAUUAUUACUAUUACUACUACUACUAAACUACUUCUACUACUAUUAUACUACUACUACUAUUACUACUACUACUGCUACUACUACUAUACUACUUAUACUACUAUUAUACUACUAUUAUUACUAUUACUACUACUAUACUACUUCUACUACUAUUAUACUACUACUAUACUACUACUACUAUUAUACUACUACUACAACUACUACUACUAUUCAUACUAUUACUACUACUACUAAAUUACUUCUACUACUAUUAUACUACUACUACUAUUACUACUACUACUGCUACUACUACUAUACUACUUCUACUACUAUUAUACUACUAUUAUUACUAUUACUACUACUAUACUACUUCUACUACUAUUAUACUACUACUACUAUACUACUACUGCUACUAUUAUUAUUACUACUACUACUACUACUACUACUAUACUACUACUACUAAUAUACUACUACUGCUACUAUUAUUAUUACUACUACUACUACUACUAUACUACUACUACUAUUAUACUACUACUACUACUACUACUAUUCAUACUAUUACUACUACUAACAGGUGGUUCUAUUUGGCCCCUCAUUGUUGGACAUAAAAGACUGUAACAGCAGGAAAUCAUCUCCAAGUGAUUUUAAUAAGAAAUGUGUUCCGUAGUAUUCCUACGCAUAAUAGAGAGACGUGAUUGUAUACAGAUGUAAACAAGCGUUGAAAUGAGUGUUUCAUG
rnacentral:lncRNA from 1 species